rnacentral:lncRNA from 1 species
AGCCCAGCGGCGGGUGUGAGAGUCCGUAAGGAGCAGCUUCCAGGAUCCUGAGAUCCGGAGCAGCCGGGGUCGGAGCGGCUCCUCAAGAGUUACUGAUCUAUGAAAUGGCAGAGAAUGGAAAAAAUUGUGACCAGAGACGUGUAGCAAUGAACAAGGAACAUCAUAAUGGAAAUUUCACAGACCCCUCUUCAGUGAAUGAAAAGAAGAGGAGGGAGCGGGAAGAAAGGCAGAAUAUUGUCCUGUGGAGACAGCCGCUCAUUACCUUGCAGUAUUUUUCUCUGGAAAUCCUUGUAAUCUUGAAGGAAUGGACCUCAAAGUAAAGAGUCUUCUCCCACUACCUUUUACAUACACCUCAUUUACUCAUUUAAAAAAUCCUCAGUAAUCUCUUACUUUCUGCCCUCUACUCCAUCAAAAUGGAUUAAUUACCUUUAGAAUAUUACCAUAGGAACAUAUUUAUUCUCCUUUCUUUAGGUUGAAGAAAAAUAGAUUAGGGAAAGACAUUGCUAUUUGCUGUUUGCUUACUGGAUUAUCACAGUUGUCCACUGUUUUUUCAUGUUGAAUCUGCAGUGGAGAACACUGAAAAAUAC